CUCACCGGCUCAGGGUUGACUCAGCCUUCCAUCCUUCCGAGGCAAGGACACAUGAGCAGCCCACCAGUGUGGCGACAACGCCGCAACUGGUGACCCCGACAUGAUCUUGCUGAUCAAGCACGUCGCCUCAUACGUCUCAUUUGGCACCCCCAUUGCUUACCGGCGAAGGAACGCCCCUUGCAAAUCAGGACCGGCCGUCGCAGACGGAGCAUCCUCCCAAUCAUGUUAUGCGUUGUACUCCAGCAAUAUUUUCACAGUGCAAGAAUUAAGAAGUAAGGAUUGUCUUGAGUAUUUAUAAUCUUUGUGGAAUUUGCAUCCUGCAACUUCUUGGGACAUGUCAGCUGAUUGAUGAUUGGGAAUGGUGUUUCCACCUAUUCUAAUCUGUCUCCUCCAUCAGUAUUUUGUGCAUGGCUUUCAUCAAAAGCUUGAUUGGAUGAUAGAUCAUAUGUAGUUUCAUUGAUGUGCUCUUCUGAUGUUUGCCAGGUCAAUUAUUUCCAUAUUUUCCCAGUCAUAUAUGUGAUUCAUCCACUUAAAUUAAAAAAUAUAUUUGGGAGAUGCAACACAUAUGCUUGAAAAUAGGAAAACACGUUGCUUUAUUAUAGCUAAAUAUGUAAUCAUUCUCACAUUUGCAUUCUGCCAAGCAUGGGCAAUACUGCCUCACUAACAGAAGGAAGUCAGCAAGCAGCAUAGCCAUGGACAAUCAGCAUGGCGCUGUUCAUCUCUUCAGCUUAGCUGUCAUGUCUCCAUUAGCAUACACAGAGAGAAUCAAAAUAAAAUAUCAAAUAAAAGGUCCAUAUACAGUUUGAUAUUUUUAUAAACAUUCUGGUCAACCGCCAAAAGAAGCAGAUGGUAUUAUAUUAACAGCUUCCUAAGUACACUCAUUACUUUUUUCUGAGUGCAUGCAACAGUUCUUUUUUGUUCCUUUCUCCAUUAGUUGACAGAACAACACAGAUAUUCUUAACUUUAUACUCCAAAUUUAAUUAUUGCCUCCAUGGUUCUGGGGUUUGCAUAAAUCAGUCCAUAUGAACUCAUAUUUGGUAAGUCAUGCUUAUUGAUGUAAAAACAGGCAAUAGAUCAAACACUACCUCCAGUCAAGCAAAUCAUCUGUAUAGUAUAUGAUAGUUUGCAUAGUCUUCAUCUUGCCAACAAGACCUGGACUUUUUAAAAUAGUUUUUUUUUUAAACAAUGCAUGUUGCUGUAAUUACAUCUGGCACAAUAGUUAUGUCAGAACUCUAUGGAGGUAGGAGCGGCCCUGUCUGCCACAAUUCAAUAAAGACUGAAUUUUUCACUGAUGAACAAGUUUUAUAGCGUGCUUGACUUAUGUUUUGCCACUAGAAAAUAACAAUGUAUGUGACACGUUAUUUUCUGUUUUGAAUUCAGAGUGUGUGCAUGCAUAUAGUAAAUCAAAUAUAUU